CCCCGGUGGCCGAAUGGUUGGUGCGGCCACCUGGUAGCACCUUGGCGUGGGGACCCAAGGUGCGUGGGUUCGAAACCCGCAGGGGAACACAAUCCGGAGCCAUUUUUCAGCUCCUUAAAUAAGGGAAUGUGAACUUGCCAAGUAGGUACCUUCAGGCGGACUUACUACCUGAUUUAGCUGAUUUUUCCUGGGCUGGGAACCUGUAUUGCAUGUAUCAAUCCUGUCUCUCAUUUGAUUUUCCUAUAUUUACUAGUUAUAUCUUGGUGUGUUUUCAACAUUAGCAUUCCUUUUGUAUAAUCAACUCUUGCCUGUAUUUAACAUCACACAAGGACUCAUCAUAAGCACUGCUUGCAUAUGAGUAUAAGGAAAAAUAAUAAUAAUAAUAAUAAUAAUAAUAGUUAG
rnacentral:sRNA from 1 species